rnacentral:lncRNA from 1 species
CUCUCCCCACUGUGGGCCCUGGAUACAAGGUGGAAAAACCGACAGUGAAAUGAGCAAAAAAAUGAACACUGCAUUCACACCAGAGACCCCAGACCUGGUCAGUACUUUCCCGUCCGCCGGGCUGUGGCUUUCUCCCCAGGUAGAGGACAGUGUGGACAGGGGGGCGGGCAGCGGAAGAGUCAGGUGUGCUCCUGUCCUACCUCUUCAGGGCAGUUCCCGCUGGGAGAGUGAGCACCCUCAGGCUUGGCCUGGACCCCAGCCUCAGUUCCAACUGCAGCCCCUCGCUUACACAGAGCGCCCACUGUGGGCCAGGCACAGUGCCCAGCAUCGCACCUGCCACGUCCCAGGAGCCUUCUGCUUCCCAGUCUACAGAAGGGGAAACCGAGGCUCGGGGAGACAGUCACGGAGUAGAAGACAGCCUUGUGUGAACUGCUCUCAUGAGGACAUCCUGUGUGAGCGGAAGGCUUUGGAGUUGAAGGCACAUAGACACAUGGUGUUCAAGGGACAGAGCCUCUUCGGGGAUGACCACUCUGUGCAGGUCCUGAGCCAUCACUGGGCCGACCCGUUUGACUUUUCCAAGCCGGAAACUGAGGUCAGAGCAGGGGAACAGCCACGGUCACACAGCAAAAGUGGCAAACUCAGCAGAGAUCCAAGGCUGACCAAGAAUAGCCCUGGCAAGGAGGAGGCAUUUAUAGGACGCCUGUGACGUGCCACACUCUGCUCCGCCUCACCGCGGCCUGCCGCUCUGAGGGCUGAGCAGCCUGCUGGUCCUGCCAGUGCGGGGUCAGGGUCAGGCCCUGCCAUGCGUCCACACCCCACCUCUCCACCGGCUUGGAGGCCUUGCAGCCUCCCGGGUCUGACGUGUGCAGGCCCCAGUGCACGGACCGCGACCACGUGGGCUUCCUGCUGGGCAGAGUGGUGGGACUGGGAGGCCUCUCCAGACAGCGUCACCGGCACCAGGCAGCCCCACACCUCUGAUGCCCCCGAGCUCUCUGUGCCCGGCACCAGGGCACACCCCGCCACAGCACAGCGCUCUGGAGAAGGCGUUCUGCCCUGUUCCUGCCGCCUAGAGGGUCCAGGGCGGGGCUGUGUGUGCAGAAUCCUGUGGAGCCCAACACGUGGGGGUCAGGCCUGUGCUCCCCCCUGGGACUGCCCCUGCUCUGUCCAAUGCAGACGACUUCCUGUAAGUCUCUGGGCAGUGACUUGCCUUCUGCAUUUUGUUCUUGAAAAUAAAAAUGCUGGGGAGACCCUUGCUCCACUGCCCCCGCCAUGGGGGCUGUGAGCUUUGUGCCACCGU